rnacentral:lncRNA from 1 species
UUUCCUUUUGUUCCCUAAAAUAGAGUCAGACAUCCAUUUCUCAAUAAGAUCAGCUCUUUUGAUUACAUGAUGGACUCCUCUGAAAAAACAUUGGCGCACGUGUAAACGAGGUGCUCUACCUAACUGAGCUAUAGCCCUUGUGUGUUUGAUACAUUUUGAUACAUAUUUUAUCAUAUUAUGUAGAUAAUUUCUUGUCAAGAUGAAUAUUCCAUGAUCCAAUCUCCUUGAUUGAUAUUGUAUUGGUAUUGCUUAUUAAGUAAUAUUACAUUUAUAAUCCAUUGAUCUGAUAGCAUAGGUAUCCUUUUUUUUUAUUUUUUCGAUUUGGUUGGGAUGGUAAGUGACCUACUUAACUCAGUGGUUAGAGUAUUGCUUUCAUACGGCGGGAGUCAUUGGUUCAAA